AGUUGUUUAGCUAUAAAAGUGGAUGUUUUGAAAGCAUUUUUAAUGGAUUUCCUACACUUA
rnacentral:tRNA from 1 species